AGAGUUUGAUUCUGGCUCAGAACGAACGCUGGCAGCGUGGAUUAGGCAUGCAAGUCGAACGUGAAUCCGGUGAUCAAUCUUUCGGGAGAGUGAACCGGUGGAAAGUGGCGGAAGGGUGAGUAACGCGUGGGCAAUCUGCCUCCGAGUUGGGGAUAACCAUUCGAAAGGAUGGCUAAUACCGAAUACGGUGGUGUUGCUUCGGUGACAUUGACUAAAGGUGGGGCUCCUUCGGGACCUGCCGCUGGGAGAGGAACCCGCGUCCGAUCAGCUUGUUGGUGGGGUAACGGCCUACCAAGGCUACGACCGGUAGCUGGUCUGAGAGGAUGGUCAGCCACACUGGGACUGAGACACUGCCCAGACUCCUACGGGAGGCUGCAGUCGAGGAUCAUUGGCAAUGCGCGAAAGCGUGACCAUGCGGCGCUGCGUGGGGGAUGAAGGCCUUCGGGUUGUAAACCCCUGUCAUUGGGGACAAAUCACUCGGCCGUGAAUAUCGGUUGAGUUUGAUGGUACCUGAAGAGGAAGCCACGGCUAACUCUGUGUCAGCAGCCGCGGUAAUACAGAGGUGGCGAGCGUUGUUCGGAUUUACUGGGCGUAAAGGGUGCGUAGGUGGCUGCGUGUGUCGGAUGUGAAAUCCCGUUGCUUAACGGCGGAACUGCAUUCGAAACUGCGUGGCUUGAGUGCAGGAGGGGAGAGCGGAAUUCUCGGUGUAGCGGUGAUAUGUGUUGAUAUCGAGAAGAACACCGGUGGCGAAGGCGGCUCUCUGGAAUGUUACUGACACUGAGGCACGAAAGCUGGGGGAGCAAACAGGAUUAGAUACCCUGGUAGUCCCAGCCGUAAACGGUGCGCACUUGGUGUUGGCGGUAUUGAUCCCGCCAGUGCCGGAGCUAACGCGUUAAGUGCGCCGCCUGGGGAGUACGGCCGCAAGGUUAAAACUCAAAGAAAUUGACGGGGGCCCGCACAAGCGGAGGAGCAUGUGGCUUAAUUCGAUGCAACGCGAAGAACCUUACCAGGGCUUGACAUGCAGCUGCACGCCCCGGGAAACCGGGGUUCCUUCGAGGGUGCUGCACAGGUGCUGCAUGGCUGUCGUCAGUUCGUGCCGUGAGGUGUUGGGUUAAGUCCCGCAACGAACGCAACCCCUGUGGUUAGUUGCCACCGUCGGUGAUGAGCCGGCGAGCACUCUAGCCAGACUGCCCGUACAAGCGGGAGGAAGGUGGGGACGACGUCAAGUCAGUAUGGCCCUUACGCCCUGGGCUGCACACGUGCUACAAUGGUCGGUACAAAGGGAAGCAAGACCGUGAGGUGGAGCAAAUCCCCAAAGCCGGCCCCAGUUCGGAUUGAGUCUGCAACUCGACUCCAUGAAGUCGGAUUCGCUAGUAACGGCGCAUCAGCUACGGCGCCGUGAAUACGUUCCCGGGCCUUGUACACACCGCCCGUCACAUCAUGAAAGCCGUCUGCACCCGAAGUCGCCGGGCCAACCCGCAAGGGAGGCAGGUGCCGAAGGUGUGGGUGGUGAUUGGGAUGAAGUCGGAACAAGGUA
rnacentral:rRNA from 1 species